UCAAGUGUUUAACCCAAGUCAAGAUGAAAUCCAUAAAAGCAUAGUUCCCAAAAGUGACUAUUAUCACAUUGUCCUUCACUCUUUCUCCAAACAACUCUUUAGUUAGUUUAAAGGCUUCAAGAGGUGGCAUCUUCUUGUCUUUAGGAGGAGACACCCAGAUUUUACCCAAUGAUGAUUUGCCUUGAGCUUCUUCCUCCGGAGCUGGCGGUGGCAGUGCAACUGGUAGUGACUGAGACGUUGCAUUAUCUUGUGGAAGUUUGUGGAUUCGACCAGCAGCUACAAAUACAUCCGUACAUAAUAGAAAAAGAACCAAACUUUUAGCUUCUACUGGUUAGUGAGAUCAUCUAGCUUGAUACCAUGAACUCUUGAUUGAACUAAGACAUAAGUCUCGGGGAAAAAGACAAAAACUUUAAAGACAUACUAAAAUUCAGAUCCAAGUACAUUAGUAAUAACCACUUGUUUGGACACAAAAGCUACGAUGUUAAAUCAACUAAAGUGAUCGAAAGACAAAACCCAUCGUCUCAAAAACGAACAUUGAGAUUUAAGGUCAACGGUGAGAACCUAAACUUCAGAAAAUCUCACUUAAUGUUCAGACAUCAACUUGAUUACAGAGUCAACACAAUAAUCAAACUCAAAACAACAAAAAGAUCCAAACUUUGAAGAGAUUAACUAUUGCCACCACAGUAAAUGCAUAGGGGAGAGAGAGUGUGUUACUGGAGAGAGGAGGAGAAGAGAGCCAGGAGGUGGAGCCAUUGGUGGGAGAGUAAAUAGCGGAGAAGACAUAGAAGGAGGAGACGAGAACGCCGAUGAUCACCGUCGCGUAGAUCGUCACGAACAGAGGCUUCGAAUUAGUCGCCUCUCGAAACCCAUUUCGCCAACCCUCCACCAUUCUUCUUCUCUCAGUUUUUCACAAUCUCUUCUUAUUACUCAAAUCUCCAUUACAGAAAAGCUUUGUUCUUUUUUUUUUCUUGUCGGAAUUUCUUUUCUGAUGGGUUUUGUCUUCUUCUUCUUAUGUGAUCGUUAGGUAGUCUGGUCAACUUCGUUAUCGGCGUCUUCUCUUCGGCUUCUUCUCUUUUUAAAGUUGUAUUUAAAUGGUUCAAAAUUAUUAUUUUUGUUUGUUUGUUAUAAACUUGGAACAUUAUUUCCCAAGAAGUAAUGCAACGUAGUGGAGAUGUUGUGUAUCAAUUUAAAGCAGUAUAUUCUUCUUCUUCUUUUUUUUAAGUUUGAAAAAAAUGAAUCGAAAGGUAAACUAAUCUCAUUAUCUUAUGGCAAAUUAAAUGUCUACAUUUAUUAACUAUAAUUAAGAACUUAAUAGGCUGUUUACCAACUCCAAAGUGGAUUUUCUUUUUACUGUAAAAAGUUAAAAGGAAAAGAAUUGCGUUUGUUUAAAAAUCUAUAUUUACAUUAUUCCUAUUUUGGAUGAAUUGUGGGAAAGAAAAAAAUGAAAUACGUAAGAAGGAAGACAAAGGACAUAAAGAUCUUGAUGAAAUGCUCUCUCAUUGCUUUGACUUUGUUAGAGCACAAUCUCAAGAUGAGGGAGAGAUGAGUUAUCAUGUCCGAUCAUGUUAGCUCUGAUUUUUUUUUUUUUUUGUUGAUACAUCCGAACUAAAAAAGUAGAUGUCAAAAGAGUAUUUUAAACUUUUUUGGUAAACGUUAAUCUUUCUUUCAUGAUCUUACUUUUAAGGAAAUAUUUCCAACUUUACUUGAUAUUACAAUGAAAUGAGUCAAUUUGGUCCACACAAGAAGCGAGCAAUAUGGCUUCAGAGUUGAGAAGAUGGUCUGGGGCCUCUGGGCGAUGGGCUAGCAUCUACCGCAGCUGAAUUGCGACCCAUUUGCGUUAGAUUAGAUUAUAGUAUAGCACAAGUCCAACAGUCUCUAAUCCUGUUUUCCUAUAUUUGUGAUUCUGUAUCAGGAUCAUGGCCGAAAGAUUUUUUUUUAAGGAAUGUAAUUUACAAUUUUGAAACAAAUAACUAUCGUGGACUUUUGAAAAAUGGUCGCAGAAUGAUUAUGUCAGACAGUCAUCCCCUAACAAGCUAUGAUGGAUCAUGUCAAUAUGAUUAGCCUGGCCCGAUCCAUCUAAAAUAAACAAAACAUACAUAUUGUUUAGUGUUGGUUAAUUUGACUCGACUGUAUUCAGAUUUACAUCGUGAAAUCCGAUCUGAUUCGUUCAUGGUUACAUGCUAAUGUAUAACGAUUUGGAUUUGAUAUUUUUUUUACUAGCGUCAUUUUAAUGUAUGACUCUCUUAAUUAAUGUAAUUAAAAAACAAAAUUUAUAACAUAAAGAAAAUUUCGAAUUUUCAUUAUUUUUGAUAAAUUUUCUAGUAAGAAAGCUCACUUACUCUUCUUGUAGUUUGUGGGUUACUCUUCUUUUAGUUUGUGGAUUUAAUUAAUAAACUGUUUUGAUAAAUUAUUAAAAUUAGAUAUACAAAAAAAAAACAAAAACAAAACAUUUAUGAAUAUGUACUAAUAUUAUUAUUUAAUUUAAAAAAAUUAAAUUGAUUUAGAAUAUUUUAAACCGAUCUAAGAAUGGUUUAAACUGAUUUAAAUCAUAUAAUAAAUUUUAAGAGAUACAUGAAUUUAUGUGAACAGCGAGAGAGAAAAAGAGAGCGAGUAAGAGUUGAAGUCCGCCAUGGCGUCCGGUGGCGCGUCCGAGCGCGUACCGGCGCCGAUGGCCCUUUUCUUUGUUGUUCCGUUCAAGUCUUCGAGAGUGUAGUCCGAUCUGACGACUCCCUCCGACAUGCGCGCGGAUCUGGGUUAGGGUUUUGCUUCCGGAAGUCUUCGGUUCUCUGCAACUCUUCUUCCUCUGGAUUCGCGGCGAGGAGAGAAGACAGUCAGAUCGUCAUUUCAGCGGUUUUUGUUCCGGGUUGUAGAGGCUUACACAGCUCUUACAUCGCCGAUAAAGUUCACGGGUUGUGGAGGCUUCUUUAGCUCUGUGGCGCCGUUCAAGUUCCCGGAGCGUGGAGGCUAAUACAGCUCCAGUGCUGUCGGCUUUCGCUGGCUCUUGGUAUCCUAGGUUCGAUUUAGGGUUUUAUUUUUGUUUGUGUGUUGUCGGGGUUUGUUCUGAUGGAGGAGCUCUCGUCGGAGGACGAUUGAUGCUCUCUGGUGGCUUGUGCGGUUCAAGUGGUUGUCUGCUUUCUUUAAUCGGAUGAGAUCUCGAUGGGAUCGAUGCAUCUCUCCGGAUUUGCUCACCAACUAGAAUGUUGGAGAGAUCUAAAUCGGUCAAGUGUUUAACCCAAGUCAAGAUGAAAUCCAUAAAAGCAUAGUUCCCAAAAGUGACUAUUAUCACAUUGUCCUUCACUCUUUCUCCAAACAACUCUUUAGUUAGUUUAAAGGCUUCAAGAGGUGGCAUCUUCUUGUCUUUAGGAGGAGACACCCAGAUUUUACCCAAUGAUGAUUUGCCUUGAGCUUCUUCCUCCGGAGCUGGCGGUGGCAGUGCAACUGGUAGUGACUGAGACGUUGCA
rnacentral:lncRNA from 1 species